rnacentral:tRNA from 1 species
GAGGGUAUAUGUCAGUGGUAGAGUGUGUGCCUAGCAUGCAUGAGGUCCUGGGUUCAGUCCCCAAUACCUCCA